GCCGACGUGGUGAAACUGGCAGACACGACAGACUCAAAAUCUGUUGGGGUAACCCCGUAAGGGUUCAAGUCCCUUCGUCGGCA
rnacentral:tRNA from 16 species